rnacentral:rRNA from 1 species
GAUGAACGCUGGCGGCGUGCCUAAUACAUGCAAGUCGAGCGAACAGACGAGGAGCUUGCUCCUCUGACGUUAGCGGCGGACGGGUGAGUAACACGUGGAUAACCUACCUAUAAGACUGGGAUAACUUCGGGAAACCGGAGCUAAUACCGGAUAAUAUAUUGAACCGCAUGGUUCAAUAGUGAAAGACGGUUUUGCUGUCACUUAUAGAUGGAUCCGCGCCGCAUUAGCUAGUUGGUAAGGUAACGGCUUACCAAGGCAACGAUGCGUAGCCGACCUGAGAGGGUGAUCGGCCACACUGGAACUGAGACACGGUCCAGACUCCUACGGGAGGCAGCAGUAGGGAAUCGUCCGCAAUGGGCGAAAGCCUGACGGAGCAACGCCGCGUGAGUGAUGAAGGUCGUCGGAUCGUAAAACUCUGUUAUUAGGGAAGAACAAAUGUGUAAGUAACUAUGCACGUCUUGACGGUACCUAAUCAGAAAGCCACGGCUAACUACGUG